GUUGUAAUGUCGACAUAAAUAAUUAGACGUUCCAUUAACAUAAUAAAAAGUAACGCACUUUCCGCGUGGCUGACUGAUGUUAUUUUUGCAAUGCAUCAUAAUUAUUUGAACAAACUUUCUUGCCUGCCACAAAUAUUUCCGGUCAAAACAAGAUACUUUACAGCGAAGCGUAGUGUUCAAGAGAUUUUUUUAUUUGCAGAUGUUUUAUUUUUGAGGUAAAUUAACGUGAUGUAACGGUUUGCUUGGAAAAUUAUCAGUUUGGGUUUUUUGUUUUUGUGGCGGCACAUAUGGGCAGUCAAAUUUGUUUGCUAAUGGGUGACAAAUAUUCAAAGGCUUAAAGUUAUAGAUAUGAGUCAAGGUGAUAACAUUAAGUUACAAGUUUCAGAAAAAUAAAAGUACUCGUAAAACUUACAAGUACGGUGAUUUGAGAGAUCUGAAGAAUCACCCGGAGAUCAUUUUUAUUAUCUACUCGCUUAAAAGUCUAAGCUCUAAAAUAUUCUCAAUAAAUAAUCAAUAUGAUUCAUUAAGGAAUGUAGAAAAUUUAACAACUGCUUUAUAAUAUUUUGUUGAU